rnacentral:lncRNA from 1 species
ACCCCAAAAUCAUAUUUAGACAUAAAAUAUUUACCCAGCUUUGUCACCUUAGGGCCCACUGCCCACCGUGCUGCGGCAGGUUGUGGUGUGCAGAGUUUGAGUAAUUUUGCUCAUUAUUAAUUCAUGCAAUUUUUUUUUUUUCAGGGGAAGCUCAUUUGCUGCCGCCAGUCCUAAGAUUAUCAUCAUUAAGAGGAGGCAAAUAAAUUGAUGCGGUUACAGUGGCGGAUCACGCUUAAGUGAAAUCUGUUGAAGUUGUAUCCCGGAAAAUCCUCGGGUAUCCAGGCAUAAAAACUGCAAACACGAGAGGAAGAAAAAAGCUCAUCAAGACUUAAAGGAUGGCAGAUUCAACCAUCUGCAUGUGUGCGCUGCUGACGCAUGAACGCUCGGUGAAUGAAGGUGUGGAGAUACAGGAUACAGUAGGUGCAGGCGGCAGCGGAGCGAGGCCAUUCUGGGAGAGAUAAGGUGAGUUUGUGGUGGGCGCUGGUGUAACGGCUGUCACCGCACAUGCAUGCUUUGUGUACACACAGGGUGUUAAGAGCUGUCAGACAGGUAUGGCUCAGGCUUGAUCUGAGACGUGAUUGAUCACACAGGUUCAGGUGGAGUUCACGG